rnacentral:pre_miRNA from 1 species
GAUAUACUCCCUCCGUCCGAAAAUACUUGUCAUCAAAAUGAAUAAAAGAGGAUGUAUCUAGAUGUAUAUUAAUUCUAGAUACAUCCCUUUUUAUCCAUUUUGAUGACAAGUAUUUUCGGACGGAGGGAGUAUGAU